ACCUUAAGAAGCUAAUCUGAAUGUGGCUUUAUGCAUCUUUGUGCUAGGCAAUGUGCAGGGACAGUUGUAUAGUACCUGGAGCUGUAGCUACAGAAAUUGAGUUGGCUAGAAAACUGAAGGAGUUUUCUUUUAAGGAAACAGGAUGUUUACACCACAAAGAUGUUUCAGCUACUGCUAGCUGCUUAUUCAACAAUAAGCAUUCAAGAUGCUUCUCUCUUCUUGGGAAUGAAUGAGGAUGAUGCUACAAACUGCAUGUAGACCAGUGAAGACUACAACUUUAAUGCUAAGACAUGAUUUUUGUAUAUAUGUUAGUUUGUGGUUAAUGUUAAGACAUGAUUUUUGGAUAUAUGUUAGUUUGUGGUUAACGUUUUG